UACGAAGGUCCCAAGCGUUAUCCGGAUUUAUUGGGUUUAAAGGGUGCGUAGGCGGGUUAUUAAGUCAGUGGUGAAAGCCUUCAGCUUAACUGAAGAACUGCCAUUGAUACUGAUGAUCUUGAGUAUGAUUGAGGUUGGCGGAAUGUGUCAUGUAGCGGUGAAAUGCUUAGAUAUGACACAGAACACCGAUUGCGAAGGCAGCUAACUAAGUCAUAACUGACGCUGAUGCACGAAAGCGUGGGGAGCAAACAGG
rnacentral:rRNA from 1 species